ensembl:snoRNA
ACGCAUCUAUUGACAGCCCUGGAGUGCAGUACCGUGACUUUCUGGGUUUCUUAUCUGAGAUGCGAGAUGAAAGUUCCUCGCGCUUUCGGCCUGCACCUCUUGUAGCAGCUCAGAUUGAAUAGAGGAAUACACAC